rnacentral:lncRNA from 1 species
AUUAAUCUAACAUUAGCCUUAGCAACUGACACCUUACUAACACUCUUACUAGUAACAAUUGCAUUUUGACUCCAACAACUUAAUAUCUACACAGAAAAAUCCAGCCCCUAUGAAUGCGGCUUUGACCUGAUAGGCUCUGCCUGCCUCUCCUUUUCCAUAAAGUGCUUCCUAGUAGCCAUCACAUUUCUCCUCUUUGAUCUAGAAAUCACCCUACUACUACUCCCACCAUGAGCUUUUCAGACAACUGACCUAAAAUUAAUAAUUAGUACAGCUCUCAUAUUAAUUAUCAUUUUAAUCUUCAGUCUAGCCUACAAAUGAACCCAAAAAGGAUUAGAAUGA